rnacentral:rRNA from 1 species
UGAUGGUAGUCUAUUAGUCUACCAUGGUUAUUACGGGUAACGGAGAAUAAGGGUUCGACUCCGGAGAGGGAGCCUUAGAAACGGCUACCACAUCCAAGGAAGGCAGCAGGCGCGAAACUUAUCCAAUCUUGAAUAGAUGAGAUAGUGACUAAAAAUAAAAAGACCAUUCCUAUGGAACGGUUAUUUCAAUGAGUUGAUCAUAAACCUUUUUUCGAGGAUCAAGUGGAGGGCAAGUCUGGUGCCAGCAGCCGCGGUAAUUCCAGCUCCACUAGUGUAAAUCGUCAUUGCUGCGGUUAAAAAGCUCGUAGUUGGAUCUGAGUCGCAUGCAAUGGUUCGCCUUUGGCGUUAAUCAUUGUUGUGACUAUUUGCUGGUUUUCUAUUGAAAUUUCGAUUUCUUUAGUGGCUAGCGAGUUUACUUUGAAUAAAUUAGAGUGCUCAGAACAAGCGUUUGCUUGAAUGGUCGAUCAUGGAAUAAUAAAAGAGGACUUCGGUUCUAUUUAUUGGU